rnacentral:lncRNA from 1 species
UUGGAAAACAUAUGAACAUGAUAGCUUCCGUUAUAUGGGCGUCACUGAAUGGAACAAGUUGAUUACUAGAAUCUUGACAACUCCCAGAAAAAAUGGAACACAAUACAUCUUAAAAAAGUGACCAAAUUGUAAAACCAAUCAAGGGGCAUGAAAAUGGAAAAAGGAAUCUAAUACUCAUAGAUGCAAAAUGGUUGACAUCGCGAUGUUGGAAACUCUGCUUUGUAUGGCUUUACCCUUAUGGCUGUCCUUUAUGCAGCUCUUCAACCUACUUGUAUUCAAACACAAAAAAAAGAAAACUUACUCAAAAAUGUAAAAAACUAAAACCCAAAAAACCCAGAAUUCGUGCAACUGCAAUCCAUGAUAUACCAACACCAAUAACAAUAACAGAAGGGAUGAAAAUAGCCUACUAUCAAAUAAUACGUCAGAGAAUGGAUCAUUCGGUUCCAUUGGAAUUGAAAAGAAUUGAAUUGAAUUUUUAAAUAAUUCGAACAAAUUUAACAAUGACAAGAGCAAACCCUAAUAAGAGAAAACCCUACCCACAUCAUAAAAAUUGAACAUAUAAAUUGAGAAUGGAGAAAAAGUAAGAUGUAAUUCUUCGAACACAUACCCGAUUCCUUGUUUUUCAAGAUCGUUGGGCUUUUCUAUCCAAUUUUGCCGCUCGUCAUCGUUGCUUCGAGCUCGCCAUUGCCGCUCUAGGUUGAUGGUUGUUUGAGCAAGAAGGAAAGGUAGUUUGAGAGAGAGAGAGAGAUAGGGAGAGGGAGAGGGAGAGUGAUGAACAAAUUAUAUUUCUCGCAAGUGCACGAAUUGAUAUGAUAGUAUAGCAAGCAAAUACGAGUGUCGUACCCACAGGGAUUUGCAAAGUCACCUAACUAAAUCCAAUUUUGUAGUACCCACUAGAAUUAAAAUAACGAAAACAACUAAACUACAAAAUUCAAAUAAUUAACCAAAGAGAAGUUGAUCAAGUAAUCUUAAGUGCAGUAAAUUAAAGAGAAUUUAUGUAAAUAAUUUCUGAAAACAAAGGUUGAAACACUAGUUAUCCGACUUUCACCAUAUCAAUCCAUUUCUAUGUCAUUAGAUAACUAGUAAGAACAAUUCAAUUCAGGUUCUAGGGUUCAUUCUCUCUUUAUUAUGAUUAUCUGUUAGGCGUUCGGGUGUAACCAAGUAUUCUUAAUCAUCAACUUAACCAUGGCGUCUAGUCUAAGUCAACAAUCAAAAAUUCAUUAAGUAAAAGAAGAACAACGAAAACCAAAAAGUGUCUUAGCAUGGCAUAUGCAUCAACAACAAUUCAUUCAUCCAAAAGAGCUAUCUCAAGGCUAAGCAUAUGGCGUCUACUAUAACCUUGUCUCAUACAUCUAAAAAUUCAUAUUAAAGGUAGCUAAUCAAUAACCUGAACAUAAAGAAUGAUAUAAGCACAAUGAACGAAACUAGAAACCGUGAAUUGAUAAAAGAAUGAAGUUAACUAAGACAUAGAAUUAUCAUGAAGGCUACAUCGGAUCCCUAACAAAGAAUUAGUUCAUCACGACCAUCAAAUUAUAAUAAGACAUCUUAUCACAAUCAUGAUAACCAAGUCGGAAAAGAUGUAAAAGCAAAUAAUGGAGAACCCCCCCC